UCUAGGAAUGGUAAUGUUGAUUGGUCGAUAAGUACUUUGGCUGAAAUAUCUCACUUUGGUGAUCCCCUAAUUUGUUCUCUUUUCCUUAAUGUUUUUGGUUUUGAGGGAUAUAGCUAAACAAAUAUGACCUGGUUGAAAGCUAGCAAACAGCUAGUUCGCUCAGAAAAAUACCUAAAUUCAUGUAAGCAGACCAGAAGUUCUAUGGCAAUGUCCUGAAGCACAGGCACGGGACAAAAGUGACAGUCAGAUGAAUUGACCACAAAACGGCAAGAACAGUUGAAGCAAAGAUAAUCAAUUGAAUAAAUGGAACAGUAAGGCUUCACUCGAGUCACAUCUGGACUGAUGAGACCUCUGUUGGCCUUCCUCACCCUAACCCUGGACAUUUCCUGCAAACAUAGAGAGGAAAG